GGGAAGAAAGGUAAAUACGGGAGCUUCUAACUCUUGGUAUGAGCAGUUCGAUUCUGUUCGUCCCU
rnacentral:tRNA from 1 species